GUCAGCUCUAGGGACCUACAUCAUAAGAGCUCAAGGACAUUCAUUCUAGCACACUGCUGUGAGCAUGACUUGGCUACUAAUUCUACCAAUCUCUAUGAAUCUUAAUGCAAAUUCUAAAGAGAAAGCCUUAGGUUGGUCUGGCCUAUAGACGUUUUCUUCCUUUGUUAGUUUUUCACUCCUAGGCCAGCCAGCUGUGUCUGGGAGGAAAGGUGUGGAGUCAUAUGGAGAUGCAGUUUCUGGGAAAGGGAGAACAACUUCCCUUAGAAGGCCCUGUGGGCAGGUAUCAGUGAUGUGCUGGCUACCAAUACGACAUUACUGAUUGCAGAUUGGGAAGAGAUGCAUGGUAGCACAUUACGUGGAAUUUCCACUAUCUACAUCAUAUAAAAGAUAUAAUGGAUGAUCUCAAAUCUUAUGUUCGGGAACCUGCAAACCUCGGACCACCACAUCAAGGGAAAUGAAGUGAACCUUUCACUUGAUGACAAGACUUUGUAGAAAACCACUAAAUUAGCUACUCUAACAUCAUCAUGCAGGUGCAUGGUUCUCCUUGAACAAAUUAUUCCAGAGUAAGAUGGCCUAUUCCUCCAUCAUUCCAGUGUUAUACCAGGAAACCAGGUUUGAUUAGGAUUUCAUUGUGUGUAGUAUAGUAUUUGUUUCAGGGCAUAUGCUUUGAUCAAAAUCUAUGUAAUGAAGAUGUAUACUCCAUGAUAUCUAGAAUUAAUCAUUGAACUAUGUCUAUGGCUAAACACAAAUGUUACACUCAUUUACUUAUUAAACACCUAUUUGCCUGUGAA